rnacentral:rRNA from 1 species
GGACUACCCGGGUAUCUAAUCCCAUUCGCUACCCACGCUUUCGUGUUUCAGUGUCAGGAGUGCGCCAGUGUGCUGCCUUCGCUUUUGGUAUUCCCCAUAAUAUCAACGGAUUUCACCCCUACACUAUGAGUUCUACACACCUCUCGCAUCCUCUAGUCUUGCCGUUUCCUAUGCAUUUUCCCAGUUGAGCCGGGAGCUUUAACACAGGACUAACAAAACCACCUACACACCCUUUACGCCCAAUAAUUCCGGAUAACGCUUGGGGCACUCGUAUUACCGCGGCUGCUGGCAC